UCCACAGAAAACCCGGGUCUGCCAGAAAUACCUGUAGUCCCAGCCCCACGGAGGGAGAUACAGGAGGAGCCCUGGGGCUUACUGACCAGCCAGUCUAGACGGCUGUUGAAUGCUGUUGAAUUCUGUUUCACUGAGAGGCCCUGUCUUUAAGUAAGGGUGACUAAGGAAGAAAAUCGACAUUGACCUUUGGCCUCCUCAACCACACACUUGUGCACACAACACAGGCACACUUACAAACACACCCAAGAGAAGCAGCAGGCAAUGAUGCUAGUUGACCCUCACUGGCCUCGGGCAGCAGCAUCCUCCUGGCCAGAAUGUAGAACGUCGUCUUUGGAAGUCCAGUGGCGUUCUCAUGAGUUGACAGAGGCCCUGCUACAUCAAGGUCCUCAGGGGAUUAGGUGACACACACACAGUGCCUUAGGACACUCCUGAUAUCGGGAAUCUGUUCAUCCAUGGUGCUGAGGUCUGGGAGACGUGAGGACACCAUCAACCAAGAAGGUCUGUGACCCGCCACUCAGAAGACCCCAUGGAAUAUGGAGAGGACAAAAGACGAAAACAUCGCUGGGUGGAGGAAGCCCUCCCACCAUGUUUGUCUCUGAAAUCUGCAAAGUGGACGUGAGUUCCCAUGCUGCUUAGCAACCACAGAGCCACACGGGCGCUCUGCAUCCAUGUGAAAUAAAAUUCACCUGAACAGUCCCAUCAUCCUGGACUGCACACACGGAACUGCCCGUGUCUUCACGCGUGGCCCACACAGCAGUUCUGGCCGGGCGUGGUGGCUCACACCUUUAAUGUCAACCCCAGGAGGCAGAGGCAGGUGGAUCUAAGACCAGCCUGGUCUACGUGUAGGCCUGCAGUAAGAAAUGCACUCACUCCGACUGAUUACUUGCUGAGAUAGGCCACGGGGAUGGAAAAAAGCAUAUGUUUUAUGAUGAACGCCCUGAAACGUAAGUGGAAGCCACAGUGUGCCGGGCCCUUCACAUCUACAUAGCAGAGCACACAGCCCCAAACAGGCUUGCAAACUCCUGUCCAGUGUGUCUGGGGCUUCCCCUUCUCCUCGGUCCAGCCUCCUCUGGGAUGAUGUCGGUGGGGAAAGCAUUGGAAGCCCACAGCCCUCAGCCACGCCUCUGUCAACACCUCCCAGCUGUCUUGGGGUCAGACAGCUGAGAGGAUGGACAGGGAGCCAUGCUGGGGGGGUGGAGGGCUAUACUGAGUUACACUUCUGUGGAGGGCAUGGGCUGGCAGGUCUGAGCAUGAGAUUGCUAGUCUUUACAAAAUUCAAUCCAUCCCUUCUCUUAGAGUCCGUCACCCAGGUCUUCAGGAGAGCUUUUAGAGACAAGCAGGGUGACCAGCGGGUUCCCCAAGAAAAACCUCAUGGACAGAAGCUGCUUAGAGCUAAGUAGUCACUGAGGAGCUCCCCAAAAGGACUGUGGGCUGUGGGACAUCCCACGAACUCACCAUUGUGUUCUGGGUCACACGGUCCCCCUGGUUCCUGUCUCCUCUUCCCCGAUCUCCUGUACUCUCCGUAAGGUCCUGUGGUCCUUUACUGGGCUUAGCAUAGUCGCUAGGGCUCUGAUGGAUAUCUACUCCAUGAUGAGGGGUCUAAAGAAGCAACCGCGGGCUCCCCUCAGCAACCUCUUCAAAUGGUGUCAUUCCAAGAUACUCUCAAAGUAUCCAUUGUCAGGGAGACUCUUGGAGAGGGCACUGUCCCAAGAUGGACACAUCCGGCAUGAAAUGGGGCUGGCCCCUGCAAAAUCAACAAGGAGGAAGACAUCAUACACAGGUAUAGGACAGGAACAAACGGCCUCCACAUUCCAGCUUAGCAAUGGGGCAAAUGAAGUCAGAAGUCUAGACAGAGACGAGCAAGGACCACCUUCCCCAACUAGCAAAGUCCACGAAGUUUCCAAGCCUAAGAUGCCAUAACUUUUUGUUCUCUUUGUUUACUGAGUUCACUCUGAGGGCAUGGGCUCCCUUCCCCGAUGGCAUUUCCUUUCUUCCUUCCUUCCUUCCUUUCUUUCUUUCUUUCUUU